rnacentral:rRNA from 1 species
CGACCGGCGCACGGGUGAGUAACGCGUAUCCAACCUGCCUUACACUCUUGGACAGCCUUCUGAAAGGGAGAUUAAUACAAGAUGUUAUCAUGAGUAAGCAUUUUCACAUGAUUAAAGGUUUACCGGUGUAAGAUGGGGAUGCGUUCCAUUAGAUAGUAGGCGGGGUAACGGCCCACCUAGUCUUCGAUGGAUAGGGGUUCUGAGAGGAGGGUCCCCCACAUUGGAACUGAGACACGGUCCAA